GGCCUGGUGACCGAGUGGUUAGGUAGCGGUCUGCAAAACCGUGUACGUCGGUUCAAAUCCGGCCCAGGCCU
rnacentral:tRNA from 1 species